GCCUGGGUUCUAGGAGACAUGAAAGAAGGAAGAUGAAAGUGAUGGCACUUCAAAUAUUUGCGUCUAUUCCAGAGAUUAAUGCAGAUCUUUCUGCACUGUUCCAAUAGAAGUCUACAGCUUCACCUAGAAAAAACAAAUGUCAUUUUCUAAUGGGCUUGUGUACUAAUGGGGAACAGAGAUAAAAUGUAUUACAAUAACAGUGAUUGUGCCCUUUCGAGUAUGUCAAGCACUAUGCUAAACAUUGUAUUAUACAAACAUUAGCUCACUCCUUGAGGUAGGAAUUACUUUUCCUAUUUUACCAAUUAGAAAGGUGUAGUAGUGAGGCUAAGUGGUUUCCCAGGCUUCACCUACAGUCCACCUGUGUAAGAACCAAGUUUUAUAUCAAAAUCUGGCUGACUCCAAAGCCUGCACUCUAUAAACAGGCGGUUUUAUGUAAUGAAAAGAGCACUGUUUGAGGAGUCAGAUAAUCUGGAUCUAAGUUCUUUCUCUGCCACUUAUUUGCUGUGAAAUCUGCAUUGUCAUUUAAUCUCUGUCUACUGACUUGCUUAUAUGCAAAAUUGGAUUUAUAAUCAUUUUGUUUACUACAGGGAUUUUCAGUAGAAAUCAAAGGAAUUCAUAUAUAUAAGAGCUUUUAAUGCCCUAUACUAUGUAAAAUUUAAUUACUAUUUGUAUUUCUUUCAGAGCCUCCAUUUUCUCACUUAUAAAUUUGGGAUAAUGCUGGUCCUGAAUAGCUCACAUGGAUGUUGGAAGAAACAAUCAAGAUCCUCUAGGGAUGACCACUCUAUAAACUGGAAACUUGAUGUACAAAUGAGCAGGUAGAUCACUCGAAAGGAAAGACCAUAUGUUAAGCCACGAAAUGAGUCUUUAAAAAUUCAAAAAACUUGAAAUAAUAUCAAGUAUCUUCUCUGACUACAAUGGAAUAAAACAAGAGGAAUUUUGGAAACUCUACAAAUACAUGGAAAUUAAACAAUAUGUUCCUGAAUGACCAGUGGAUUGAUGAAGAAACUAAGAAGAAAAUUUAAAUAUUUCUUGAA
rnacentral:lncRNA from 1 species